rnacentral:pre_miRNA from 1 species
UUUGUACUCCCUCCGUCCCAAAGUUCUUGUCUUAAAUUUGUCUAAAUACGGAUGUAUCUAGUUACAUUUUAGUGUUAGAUACAUCCGUAUCUAAACAAAUGUAAGACAAGAAUUUUGGGACGGAGGGAAUACUAC